UACGUAGGGGGCGAGCGUUGUCCGGAUUUAUUGGGCGUAAAGAGCUCGUAGGCGGCCUGUUGCGUCCGCUGUGAAAUCCCGGGGCUUAACCCCGGGUCUGCAGUGGAUACGGGCAGGCUAGAGGUAGGUAGGGGAGAAUGGAAUUCCCGGUGUAGCGGUGAAAUGCGCAGAUAUCGGGAGGAACACCGGUGGCGAAGGCGGUUCUCUGGGCCUUACCUGACGCUGAGGAGCGAAAGCGUGGGGAGCGAACAGG
rnacentral:rRNA from 1 species